rnacentral:ncRNA from 2 species
AACCUUAACUAGGGGAGCCCAAUGAGCUGGGCUGAGAGGGAAGCGCAAUGAAGCUUCUUGACUCUUCGGACCUGAUCUGGAUCAUGCCAGCGUAGGGAAGUUAUCUAUGAGUCAU